rnacentral:rRNA from 1 species
UGCAUAUCAAUAAGCGGAGGAAAAGAAACCAACAGGGAUUGCCUUAGUAACGGCGAGUGAAGCGGCAAAAGCUCAAAUUUGAAAUCUGGCACCUUCGGUGUCCGAGUUGUAAUUUGAAGAAGGUAACUUUGGAGUUGGCUCUUGUCUAUGUUCCUUGGAACAGGACGUCACAGAGGGUGAGAAUCCCGUGCGAUGAGAUGCCCAAUUCUAUGUAAAGUGCUUUCGAAGAGUCGAGUUGUUUGGGAAUGCAGCUCUAAGUGGGUGGUAAAUUCCAUCUAAAGCUAAAUAUUGGCGAGAGACCGAUAGCGAACAAGUACAGUGAUGGAAAGAUGAAAAGAACUUUGAAAAGAGAGUGAAAAAGUACGUGAAAUUGUUGAAAGGGAAGGGCUUGAGAUCAGACUUGGUAUUUUGCGAUCCUUUCCUUCUUGGUUGGGUUCCUCGCAGCUUACUGGGCCAGCAUCGGUUUGGAUGGUAGGAUAAUGACUAAGGAAUGUGGCUCUACUUCGGUGGAGUGUUAUAGCCUUGGUUGAUACUGCCUGUCUAGACCGAGGACUGCGUCUUUGACUAGGAUGCUGGCAUAAUGAUCUUAAGCCACCCGUCUUGAAACACGGACCA